AUACGGAGGGUGCAAGCGUUACUCGGAAUCACUGGGCGUAAAGCGCGCGCAGGCGGCUUGGUAAGUUGGAUGUGAAAGCCUACGGCUCAACCGUAGAACUGCAUCCAAAACUGUCAAGCUAGAGUGUGGGAGAGGAAUAUGGAAUUAGUUGUGUAGGGGUAAAAUCCGUAGAGAUAACUAGGAAUACCAAAAGCGAAGGCAAUCUUCUGGAAAACUACUGACGCUGAGGCGCGAAAGCGUGGGGAGCAAACAGGAUUAGAAACCCUUGUAGUCC
rnacentral:rRNA from 1 species